UUUAUUUUCGUAGCUUUCUUUUAUUCUUUUAUGGACUGUUCAUUUUCUGUAUAAAAAAACGUAGGGAAACGGAAUGUGAUAUACAUUUUGUGUGGAAAACUCUUCCCAGUAAUUAGUUUACAUUGCUCACUUAAAAGGAAAACACAUUGUCUGACUUUAAAACUUUUUAGUAGUAUUUUUCACCUCCAAAUGGAUACAACACAUUUGAGGUGUUAAAUGAUGUUUCCCAUCAUAAAAUGUUUUCCUAACAUAAUUUGUCUAGCAUACAACUGAAAUUG